CAAGGAAUUGAGAAAUCUUGCCAACAGCCCAUGAGAAACUGAGGCCUCAAGUCCACAGCCAGAAUCUUAAAUGCUUGUGUGCAGCCACCAUCCUGACAAAUGAUUCAACAAAUGAUUCAAAGAGAAAAACCAGAAUACAAUUAUUUUGAUAGACACGUAAAACUGAAAAUCAAAUAUCCACAGAUGAAACUUCACCUUCAAGGAAAAUCGCCAACAGUGGUA
rnacentral:lncRNA from 10 species